GUUGUCGUAGCUCAGUGGUAGAGCAAUCUCCUUAUAAGAGAUAGGUCGUGGGUUCGAAUCCCGCCGACAGCA
rnacentral:tRNA from 1 species